UACGUAGGCAGCAAGCGUUGUUCGGAGUUACUGGGCGUAAAGGGUGUGUAGGCGGUUGUUUAAGUUUGGUGUGAAAUCUCCCGGCUCAACUGGGAGGGUGCGCCGAAUACUGAAUGACUAGAGUGCGGGAGAGGAAAGUGGAAUUCCUGGUGUAGCGGUGGAAUGCGCAGAUAUCAGGAAGAACACCCGUGGCGAAGGCGGCUCUCUGGAACGCAACUGACGCUGAGACGCGAAAGCGUGGGGAGCAAACAGGG
rnacentral:rRNA from 1 species